rnacentral:rRNA from 1 species
UUCUCCUGGAAACGGGUGGUAAUGCCGGAUGCUCCGACUCCUCGCAUGGGGUGUCGGGAAAGAUUUCAUCGGUAUGGGAUGGGGUCGCGUCCUAUCAGGUAGUCGGCGGGGUAACGGCCCACCGAGCCUACGACGGGUAGCCGGCCUGAGAGGGCGACCGGCCACAUUGGGACUGAGAUACGGCCCAGACUCCUACGGGAGGCAGCAGUGGGGAAUAUUGCACAAUGGGCGCAAGCCUGAUGCAGCGACGCCGCGUGCGGGAUGACGGCCUUCGGGUUGUAAACCGCUUUUGAUCGGGAGCAAGCCUUCGGGUGAGUGUACCUUUCGAAUAAGCACCGGCUAACUACGUGCCAGCAGCCGCGGUAAUACGUAGGGUGCAAGCGUUAUCCGGAAUUAUUGGGCGUAAAGGGCUCGUAGGCGGUUCGUCGCGUCCGGUGUGAAAGUCCAUCGCUUAACGGUGGAUCUGCGCCGGGUACGGGCGGGCUGGAGUGCGGUAGGGGAGACUGGAAUUCCCGGUGUAACGGUGGAAUGUGUAGAUAUC